AUACGGAGGGUGCAAGCGUUAAUCGGAAUUACUGGGCGUAAAGCGCGCGUAGGUGGUUUAGUAAGUCGGAUGUGAAAGCCCUGGGCUCAACCUGGGAAUUGCAUUCGAUACUGCUUGACUAGAGUAUGGUAGAGGGAAGUGGAAUUUCCGGUGUAGCGGUGAAAUGCGUAGAUAUCGGAAGGAACACCAGUGGCGAAGGCGACUUCCUGGGCCAAUACUGACGCUGAGGUGCGAAAGCGUGGGGAGCAAACAGGAUUAGAAACCCUGGUAGUCC
rnacentral:rRNA from 1 species